rnacentral:rRNA from 1 species
GACGAACGCUGGCGGCGUGCUUAACACAUGCAAGUCGAACGGAAAGGCCCUGCUUUUGUGGGGUGCUCGAGUGGCGAACGGGUGAGUAACACGUGAGUAACCUGCCCUUGACUUUGGGAUAACUUCAGGAAACUGGGGCUAAUACCGGAUAGGAGCUCCUGCUGCAUGGUGGGGGUUGGAAAGUUUCGGCGGUUGGGGGUGGACUCGCGGCUUAUCAGCUUGUUGGUGGGGUAGUGGCUUACCAAGGCUUUGACGGGUAGCCGGCCUGAGAGGGUGACCGGCCACAUUGGGACUGAGAUACGGCCCAGACUCCUACGGGAGGCAGCAGUGGGGAAUACUGCACAAUGGGCGGAAGCCUGAUGCAGCAACGCCGCGUGCGGGAUGACGGCCUUCGGGUUGUAAACCGCUUUCGCCUGUGACGAAGCGUGAGUGACGGUAAUGGGUAAAGAAGCACCGGCUAACUACGUG